rnacentral:misc_RNA from 1 species
CAAUUAUAAGCUUUUGUCCCCAUCAAACUGGAAAAAAAAAUCAUGCCUUAGAUUUCCUCCCUCGACUACUCUUUACCAAGCCUCACCAUCAUUGCCUGGAAAUGUCAAAGAUCGUCAUUGCCACAAGAAAUUAGAGACUAAAGUCCGACGGAUAGUCACUGCUGUCGACCUUGGAAAUCAUGUACUCCUCUGCCUUGAAAAGACCGGCAGGAAAGAGGUGGUGGGGACAAUGACCAUGGCUGUCCGAACCACUUCUCAACCUCGGUCCAGCUCUCGAUCAAUUUUGGUUCAACUACCGUUGUCAUAUGCGCGUCCAUCUUUGCUUCUAGCAUUGUCUGCAUGUGCACCUUGGCAGUGGAUUUGUGUAGCAUGUGGGUUUGUGCUGGUGUGAGCUGUGGGUGUCGUCAAAGGGAGUGUCGGCCUGCACAGGAAAGUGGCAAGGCUAUGUUGGUUGCCGGGGUAAUGGAAAUGGGUAUGUGAAAAUUGUUUUGCCUUUAACACAGCCUUUCGUAUCAUAAAUUCAAAUGGGUACUCUUCGUUCAAGU